UACGGGGGGGGUAAGCGUUGUUCGGAAUUACUGGGCGUAAAGGGCUCGUAGGCGGCCAACUAAGUCAGACGUGAAAUCCCUCAGCUUAACUGGGGAACUGCGUCUGAUACUGGAUGGCUUGGAUCCGGGAGAGGGAUGCGGAAUUCCAGGUGUAGCGGUGAAAUGCGUAGAUAUCUGGAGGAACACCGGUGGCGAAGGCGGCAUCCUGGACCGGUAUUGACGCUGAGGUGCGAAAGCGUGGGGAGCAAACAGG
rnacentral:rRNA from 1 species